rnacentral:pre_miRNA from 11 species
UAGAUUUCCAGUGUCUCGAGUUAAUCCGUCAGCGAGGUAUAGAGUUCCUAUGCGUUCGGAUAAAAUAUUCCAUAGGAACUUCAUACCGUGCUCUUGGAUUGCUUGGAAGUCAUCGAGAGGGUAA